GGAGAUAUGGCUCAGUGGCAGAGUACUUGCCUAGCAUUUAAUGAGGUGCUGGGUUCAAUCCCAGCAUCACCA
rnacentral:tRNA from 1 species